CAAAUACUUCCUCCGUUCCGAAUUAUUUGUCGCAGGUAUGGAUGUAUUAGAUGUAUUUAAGUCUAGAUAAAUCCAUUUCUGCGACAUGUAAUUUGGAACGGAGGGAGUAUUUA
rnacentral:pre_miRNA from 1 species